rnacentral:rRNA from 1 species
AGAAUCAACGCUGGCGGCGUGCCUAACACAUGCAAGUCGAACGAGAAAGUGGAGCAAUCCAUGAGUAAAGUGGCGACCGGGUGAGUAACACGUGACUAACCUACCCUUGAAUGGGGGAAUAACCUUCCGAAAAGGAGGGCUAAUACCGCAUAAAGUCCUAAGGAUGAAACGCCUAGGGACCAAAGGAGUAAUUCGUUAAGGAGGGGGUCGCGGUUGAUUAGCUAGUUGGUGGGGUAAUGGCCCACCAAGGCGAUGAUCAAUAGCCGGCCUGAGAGGGCGCACGGCCACACUGGAACUGAAACACGGUCCAGACUCCUACGGGAGGCAGCAGUGGGGAAUUUGCGCAAUGGGGGAAACCCUGACGCAGCAACGCCGCGUGGAGGAUGAAGGUCUUUGGAUUGUAAACUCUUUCGAUCGGGAAGAUUAUGACGGUACGGAAGAAGAAGCCCGGCUAACUCGUGCCAGCAGCCGC